rnacentral:rRNA from 1 species
UUAAUACAAGAUGGCAUCAUGAGUCCGCAUGUUCACAUGAUUAAAGGUAUUCCGGUAGACGAUGGGGAUGCGUUCCAUUAGAUAGUAGGCGGGGUAACGGCCCACCUAGUCUUCGAUGGAUAGGGGUUCUGAGAGGAAGGUCCCCCACAUUGGAACUGAGACACGGUCCAAACUCCUACGGGAGGCAGCAGUGAGGAAUAUUGGUCAAUGGGCGAGAGCCUGAACCAGCCAAGUAGCGUGAAGGAUGACUGCCCUAAGGGUUGUAAACUUCUUUUAUAAAGGAAUAAAGUCGGGUAUGGAUACCCGUUUGCAUGUACUUUAUGAAUAAGGAUCGGCUAACUCCGUGCCAGCAGCCGCGGUAAUACGGAGGAUCCGAGCGUUAUCCGGAUUUAUUGGGUUUAAAGGGAGCGUAGAUGGAUGUUUAAGUCAGUUGUGAAAGUUUGCGGCUCAACCGUAAAAUUGCAGUUGAUACUGGAUAUCUUGAGUGCAGUUGAGGCAGGCGGAAUUCGUGGUGUAGCGGUGAAAUGCUUAGAUUUCACGAAGAACUCCGAUUGCGAAGGCAGCCUGCUAAGCUGCAACUGACAUUGAGGCUCGAAAGUGUGGGUAUCAAACAGGAUUAGAUAC